rnacentral:lncRNA from 1 species
UGGGCGAGAGGAUCCUCUUUGAGCGAAACCAGCCUUCUGCCUGGCUGGCCCUGGUCAACACACUCGGAAGAGGCCGAUUUGGAGGACAGAACGGAAGAAAAGACCUAAAGAACUGACACAUUUGUGCCUAGCAUAGUGAUGCUGUUGUCUGCAGAAGGGUCACAGCCUUCAGGGACUCUCCUGCCAGUGCUGUAUUUUGCCUGCACCCCUCUGGCUUGGCUUCUGCACUGAGACCCUCCUAACAAAUGAUCCUCAUCCAAUCACUUAAAGGCCUGAAUAGAACCAAAAGUCUGACCUGCCCAUGAGUAAGAGAGAGCUCCUUCUGCCUGAUUGCUUCAGCUGAGAUAUCAGCCUUUUCCUGCCUUUGGAAUUGAACUGCAACACUGGCUCUUCCUGGGCCUCAAGCCUGCCAGCUUUUGAACUGUAAUCACACCAUCAUCUCUCCUGGUUCUCAGGCCUUUGGACUCAAAUCAGAAACACACCAUGGGCUCUCCUGUGUCUCAAGCUUGCCAACUGUGAUCUUGAGACUUCUCAGCCUCCAUAAUCACAUGAGUCAAUUGUUGGUUCUGUUUCUCUGGAGAACCCUAAUCCAUCACUUUACAUAUUUCUUCCAUUACACAUAUUGUUUCCCAGCAUAUUAAAUAAUUUACUGAUUAU